AACCCACAGGACAUUAAAGAAACGGGAAACAGUCCCACCAUUCUUUAGAAAUCUCCCAGCCUCACCAGUGAUACUAAGGUAAACACGCAUUAAUAAUGCUUUACAGGUCAGAACAAGCUAAAUGUCAGGUACUCACACCUUUAUCCUCCAAUGUUGACCUUGGCUUUGCAACUCUCUUUGGUGACCACGUUUAUUAACGUUAAACAGAGCUGCAGUCAGCUAGCUCCUCAGGCCUCUCACUGAGCAUCGCGAGUGUGCAAGCACUGGCCUAGGAGUCUAUUUCCUGGCUCUCUCCCUCUUUCUUUACUUCAUUUCUUUUAAAUUACCAAAUAAAUACUCACAUAUUAACACCGACUCAUUGUGUGUGUGUGUGUGUGUGUGUGUGUCUCCUGGAAAACACUUAAGAGAAAAAUGUGAAAUUAUUUGCAAACACUUCCACAACCUUCCUUUGCGCUGGCCUUGUUCUACAGCACACUUACGCUGAUGACCUCAUCUCACCCUCUCCUUAAUCCUGUGCUGCUGGCAUCACUAUGAUGCCCGUUUCCAGAGAAGACAACUGAUGGUCACACAGCUGUGAAGUGCCCAGAUCUAAGCCGGGGCCCCUGCUGGCCCAGUUCGCACGCUCGUCUCCCAGCCCGGCUGCCUCUCACUGAAACAGGAAUAAAGGCUCCUGCAACUUCAGCACCGAGCAAAGAACGUUGGGAGCUCAGCACCUCAACUCUCACCUCCUUUGGUGUCUUGAGUCCGUGUUAGUACAAAUUCACCAGAGUCGAGCUCCCGUGUCCGUCUCUCAUCCCGCAUCUGGAGUGGAGAGCAGAAUUCCAUCAGCAGAGGACGGCAGAGGGGUGUGGGCUCUGGCUGUCCUCGUUCAGAUUUUACAACCCAUCAUCCUGGUCUGCUCCAUCUCUAGGCCCCACCUCCCAAGGCACUGGCAUCUCUACUUCUGGGCCUUUCUUGAGAUUCUAGAGCAGAAUAGCUCUUGUCGCUGCCCUUCUCUGGAGGCACCAAGACUGCCUUUCCUGGACCAACACUCAGUUAUCGUCCUCCCGUAUUUGCUUUGACAAAACUGUGUUGAUAUGUCCACUCUCUGUCAACUCCUCCCUUCCUUUGGUGAAGGAAUGAAAAUAAAAUUUAUUUUCACAAGGAGUGAAAAUAAAUG
rnacentral:lncRNA from 1 species